GAGCGGCGGACGGGUGAGUAACGCGUGGGUAACCUGCCUCAUACAGGGGGAUAACAGUUAGAAAUGGCUGCUAAUACCGCAUAAGACCACAGUACUGCAUGGUACAGUGGUAAAAACUCCGGUGGUAUGAGAUGGACCCGCGUCUGAUUAGGUAGUUGGUGAGGUAACGGCCUACCAAGGCGACGAUCCAUAGCCGGCCUGAGAGGGUGAACGGCCACAUUGGGACUGAGACACGGCCCAGACUCCUACGGGAGGCAGCAGUGGGGAAUAUUGCACAAUGGGGGAAACCCUGAUGCAGCGACGCCGCGUGAAGGAAGAAGUAUCUCGGUAUGUAAACUUCUAUCAGCAGGGAAGAUAAUGACGGUACCUGACUAAGAAGCCCCGGCUAACUACGUGCCAGCAGCCGCGGUAAUACGUAGGGGGCAAGCGUUAUCCGGAUUUACUGGGUGUAAAGGGAGCGUAGACGGCGCAGCAAGUCUGAUGUGAAAGGCAGGGGCUUAACCCCUGGACUGCAUUGGAAACUGCUGUGCUUGAGUGCCGGAGGGGUAAGCGGAAUUCCUAGUGUAGCGGUGAAAUGCGUAGAUAUUAGGAGGAAC
rnacentral:rRNA from 1 species